GAAGAUUAUCAUUUUAACAAGGAAAUGUUUAUUGUAAAGCUGCUGGCUCUCUUCCUAAUAUUUGAAGGGAAUUUUUUGAACACCUAUGCGAGUAAAAUAGGUAAGUAAAUGCAUCAAGUAUUGAUAUACUGUAGACAAUUAUUUAUUGACCAUAAAAUAUUGUUUCUGUUUAUGAUUUUAAUACCCAGUAAUAAGAGGUCAUAAUCAGUUUCCCAAAAGAAAGGAGGACCAUGCAAUGAGAAGAUACCUACAUAAGGGAACAUGAGAAUAACAUUAGUCGCAAGGGAUAGAUAAAAUCUUUUUAUACCUAAACAAAUAUUUUUUAGGUUUCCAAAAAGUACUUAUAACAAAAUUUACAUUUUGAUAUUGCCUCUUUUUGUAAGUCAUGAUUAUUUUUACUGCGCAAUUUACUAUCUUAAUGUAUAUGUGAUAGCAAGAUAUUGAGCUCACCUGAGCUUGUUUUCUAGAUAUCGGAACUGACCAGAUUAAUUUUGUUUUUAUUUCUAUAUGCUGUUUAUGAACAUUUAGUGUUAGCUUUUUAUAUAAACAUUUAUUAUAUUAUCGUCAUAUAAUGCUGUUUUCAUAUAUGUAUAUGUGAUUCAUACAUAUUUAUAUAGAUAUAGGAAGAUGUGGUAAAUGAGACAACUUUCCGUCCAUUUCACAAUUGGCAAAAAGGAAACCAUUAUAAGUACAAGUUCAACACGGAGCAUUGACUCACAUCGAAGAGCAAGCUACAAAAGACCAUGAAAUGACUAAUGUAUAACGAUUCAAACAAUAAAACCAACGAUCUACAAUCUUUAUAACAAAAACGACAAAAAAUUUGGGGAACCGCAUCACCUAAACGACAACCAUCGAUUAAUAGGUUCCUGACUUAGGACAGGUGCAAACAAAUGGACUUGACGCUUUAACAGGCGCCAAAACUUGAAACAGUAGUAUACCAUUACAACAUACAAAGAUAAACUAUCAAUUGAAAUGUAUUAACUCGAUCAAAAAGUAAUAUUAACAAAAACAAGUUAACACACACUUAAAAAUAAAUUUGAUCUAUAACACAAUAAAAAUCAAAAAAGUGAAACAUGUAAAACAAUUGUCAAAACGACAACUAUAACUUGGGAAAAAAGAUGUCAGAUAAAUAACUCACACAGAUAAUAAACUUAAAUAUACUAAUUUUGUCUUUUUCAUAUGCUAUAAAUGUAAGAGAGCCGGAUAAGCCAGUAGUUUCUACCCUCUUAAUCUCUAUGUUUCUUUAUAGGUACAGAAUGCAUAAACAUUUCUCAAAGUGUUUAAUUUAUUUUUUCCAGUUCAUCAACGAAUAAAAUAAAUGUUGUACAUUUAGUAAAUAGUUUUAAUUUUACAGUUCCAUAAUAUCCUUAUAUUAUAGAUUUUGAUUGUUAUAAUAAAGACAACAAUGGCACCACCUACACUGGAACAGUAAACGUUACAACUAAUAAUCAUAAUUGCUUAAACUGGAGAACAGUCGCAUCUCCAUAUGUACCGUACGACGAGAACAAUGCGUUUUGUAGGAACCCUAAUGGGUUUAAGAAGCCGUGGUGUUACACAGGAUCUGGCUUUCAAUUUGAUUACUGUGACAUUCCAGUUUGUGGUAAGUUUAAUGCUCUGAUAAACAAACGUAAUAAGCAAAUUACCAUUGCUUACUAAAUCAGGAGAGUUUCAGUAGUAUAAAUGAAACGAAAUCAAUCUGUUGUAACAUAUCGACACUUUGACAAAAUAGUAUAACUCUGAACAAUAAAGGUCUAAACCAAAUAUUGCAUAAAAUAAAUUGGAAAGUUUCAAACCAUCAACUAGUGCUUUAACCUAAAAUAACUCGCGAAAAGACACAAAACCAAUUAUACCAAUUUAAUGUUAUUCAUAUGAAGACCUUUUAUGCCGAGAUAAAAAUUGAUUCCUCCUACUAUCACUUUUCAGACGAUAACAAUUCUUACUAAAAAAAAAAAGAAUCGAAAAAAAAUAAAUCGUAAAAAUCAAUACGAAAAAUAUGACUUGAUAUAAUUGUGAUCAUGCGAUUAUAGUUAGCGAAAAUAUUUGCAAACACUUUGCACAAUUUAUUUCAAAAAUAAGAAGAUAAUCCUUGUAUAAUAUCCAAAUAACUGUAUUAUGUAAAAACGUUUGGACUGUUUCAUUCGUCUACUGGCUUUAUCGCUUCUAAAGAGUAUAUAGGCCCUAUAUAUAAACUUAAUAGAAAAAUCUUUUUGUGCACAUGUUCAACGCAAAAAUUAGUAAAAAGAUGUUCUUUUCCACAUAUUCUGUGAAUUUUGUUUUACCGAUCUUUGCGUUGAACAUGUGUACAAGAAAAUGUUUCUAUUUAGUUUUUAUAUGAUAGCCUUUUUAUUUGCUUUAAGGGACAAAAUCAACACUAGAAUUAGACAUGAUAAAAAAGUUAGAAUCCUCGAGCUGGUUUCGAAUAUCUAAGUCAGUUAACAUCUUUAAAAAAAACCAAUACAGAUAUGAUGUCCAAGCAAGAUGUCAAUGACAUAUCGAGACGGGAUUUUAUUUUCUUCAGCCCACACACAUUUAAGACACAAAAUAUUAAUCCAUCGUAACUGUUGUUCAAUUUAUAUUCCCGAUUGACAUGCAGCUCCAUCACCUUAUAGUCUUUUUGCACCAGUUUUCUUUUAGGUUGGCUCACUAGACUAAGACCCUUUUGGGGUCGUGGCAUCAUUUGUUGACGACGAGCGGGUACGCUCUGUCACUCUAUAUUUGAUGUCGUGUUUAGAAUAAAGAGCUAACUGUUUAGGACAUGUACAAACGGAUAACUUUUUAGUUUUGAAAUAAAUACAAAAGAAAAUAGAAUGUAUAUACAUCUAUUUCUCUAUCAUCUCUUAAUUUUCACAUAAUCCAUGAUUUCUAGUUGGUUAAUAAUUGUAGUAGUGAUCGUUGACUUCGGCACAAAUAAUUGAAUUAUCAUUCAUGGCUUUCGAUCAACAGUCACCGAACGAUGUAUAUGUAUUUAAAUAUAAUAAAUAUGUUAUACUGAAUCAAGAACGAACUCCUAAAUGGCCUAAACUACUGGCAAAUCGGAAAUAUUAUUUCAGAUGUUGAUUGCUACGAUACCAAUAACAACGGAUCGUCCUAUAAUGGAACAGUACACACUUCCAGUCUAAAUCAUCCAUGUCUGAAUUGGCAAACAGUGAACUCGCAGCUUGUAUCAUAUCAUGAAAAUCAUACAUAUUGCAGAAAUCCAAAUGGAUUUGGAGAACCUUGGUGCUACAUAGGAACUCUAAACAAUGGAUUUGAAAAUUGCAACAUUCCGAUGUGUGGUAUGUGGUUUUUCUCUUCUUUAAAGAAAAUCAAUGCUCAUGAUAUAUUGAACACAACAUCAUUAUAAAUGAAGCAAUUAAAUUGUUGCUAUGCACCACUUGUCCCCUUUACCCUUUUUAUCAUUGUUUUUACAUGUAUUGUGCAGACGAAUGGAAUAAUACAACUUUCGCAUCAUUUGCAUUUUAAUCAUUAAAUUGUUAGACUAUUCAAGUUAUACUUUUAGAUCAGUUUCUAUCAUGGACGCUCCAGAUUAAUAGAAUGUUCAUAACACACAUGUGUAUUUUUUUUUGUUAAAUUAUAGUAACAAUUAUAAAGAUAUAAUGUAUAUUUAAAUAGGGAGUUGUGAAAGUUCUCCAUGCCACCAGGCCUCUACCUGCGUAAAACAGGUGCAAUGAUUCAAAUGUACAUGUGCAGCGGGAUAUACAGGAGCGCUGUGUAGCAGUAGUGAGUAGGUUCAUAUGUUCGAAACAGAGGUGAUAGGAAAAUUAUAGUAGUGUAUUAUAAUUUAAUUAAAAAAUGUAUUGUUAUGUAAUAUUGAAGCCAAUAAAUGUGUUAGCUAAUUUGAUAAUUUUCUAUACAUCCAUUAUCUCUUAUUAAUUUGUUAUAGAAAUUUAAAUGGUUGCUACACAAAAUAACAAGCAGGGAUUUCCAUUCUACACAAACAAAUGCAACGGGUUGAAACGUUUAAAUUGGUACCAACCUUCAACCUUAUUUGAAACAACAGUCUGACAUCACUGAAGGCACACUAUAAUAUAUAGAUGGAAAUGAAUUAACUUAAUCAAAAGACAUAUUAACACAAAGUCAAAAUACACUGAACGAAUAAAUUUGAUGUAUGACACAAUCUAAACACAAAAUCAAUAAAAUGGAAUAAGUGUUAGAUGUUGAACAAUUUCAGACAAAAAAACACCCUUGUUUACUCUCAGAUUUUAUUUACGCGAUUUUAUCGACAAGCAAUACCACCUGAUCUAAUCUGCUAUACAAUACAAUGUCCAUUUAUGUUAUUUAUUUAUGCUCCUCAUUUUUAGUCUAUAUAACCAAACAAAACCAUCAGCUUAUAUGGACUUUUACAUGGAGCUGUAGACAAUUUUAGUCUUCUUUCAUGUGUUGCAUGCUCUCUUGAGAUUUUUUGGUGUUUUAUUGGUUAGCCAUUUGUCCUUUUGAUUAUUGUCAUGAUUUGGUUGAUAGUUUUUGAGUUUGCCUCUUUAUAUUUUAUCCAUAUUUAAAAAAAAACCUCUUAGAUAAAGAGACAACUUUGCAUGAUGUAGGCCUAUUGACAUAUGUAAAUGGCUUACCAGGGUUCAAUAUGCAUUAUAGAUAUAGAUGAGUGUGCAAGUAAUCCAUGUCAACAUAAUAGUACUUGUAUUGAUGUAGUCGAAGGUUACAAGUGUUCCUGCGGCCCAGGAUUAACUGGUAUACACUGUGAAAGCG
rnacentral:lncRNA from 1 species